rnacentral:sRNA from 1 species
GGGUCCACUGGUGUGCACCUGUAAUCCAGCUACUUGGGAGGCUGAGAAAGGAGUAUUGCUUGAGCCCAGGAGUUUGAGGUAUGCCUGGACAAAGUACUGAGCCCCUGCCUCAA